ACAAAUUAAUAACAGGAGAACAAAGCUCAGAGACAGAGUUUCUGUGUGGGUGACUGAACGGGGAUAACUGAAUGAGGAAAAUUGUUCAGAUUCUGUGUGGUGCUUGGCUAAUUGAUGUUCAGAGACUGUAACAGGCCAGUAGAGCAGUGGACAGUAAUCUGGGGUUUGGAGUAAAAAGCCUGAAUAGGAAUCCUGAGAGAGAAAGGUGCCCAGGGUCAAAACUCCUGGUUAAACAGAUAGGAGGUCUGUGUUGUUAAACCAAGAUUCACAGAUACAGUCGAAAACACUUUUUGUUUGUUUGUUAUUUGUUCAACAUAUGGGAGUAUUUUACUUAGAAAGGUCAAAACACUCUGUGUGGUGCCUCACAGUUGAUUGAUUUAGUAACAUUAUGAUAUAUACCUACUGUAUCCUGUGCUCAUGAGGCUACAUGACCAAGAAGUUACUUACUGAGAGCAGGAUAAUCAUAUGGUGGCAGCAAAAGCAAUGUUAUAAAGAUUUCCCAAAAAUGAGCUGAGUGGUAAACAAGAAAUCUGACUUGAACUUCAAGUUCCACGUGUAUUGAAAACCGAAUUACCAUUUCAGAGAGAAGAGACUGAAGUGCCAGACAUCUAGACAGUCACUGCCAAUGGUAGAUGUAAAAACAAUCCAUGCCACUUUCAAUUUUUACUUUUACAAGAUGCUGUAAUGAGAACACAUCACUUUCGUUCCGAGGUAAUAUAUUUAGCACGCAAUCUCAAGAAAAUACAGAAUGGCCCAGGAAGGACUGAGCAUGGACGGUGUUCCUAGGAAAUACAGAACGCUGACGAUACUUGAAGCCCUUCCAGCCUGAAGAUUGGCCAGUGAAAUCAUGGGCUGAUCUGCUGGCAAUUGCCUCCUUAUUCCUUUUAAGGAAAUUUAAAGGUAUCACUGCAGAGGAAGUGAAAAAUGAACAGAAAGUGUGGUUAGACUGAGUCUGGGCUCAGGAUCUGGGAGCUGGUCAAAGGGAGAGAGGCCUUCCUGCAGCAAACUGCUGUUACCAGUAAUGGCCCGGGAGCAGGAAGGAGUUUAUAUUGGCUACAAGAGGACCACACCCUUUCCUUCAAGCCAAGGCUAUUCAUCAAAUUCUGUGAUCACAUCAAUCAAAAUACAGUUUUGACAGAAGGCAGUACUUGCAAGAGGAGAUAUCUUCCCCCCUCAUAAGAAAUUUCAUUGUUAGUUUAGUAAUAAAAUCAAUUUGACAACUA